rnacentral:rRNA from 1 species
UACGAGUGCCUCAAGCGUUAUCCGGCAUCAUUGGGCGUAAAGGUUGUGUAGGUGGUUGUAUUAGUCUUCUGUUAAAUUCUUCGGCUUAACCGGGGGCAUGCAGGGGAAACGGUACAACUAGAGGAUGCGAGGGGUCUGCGGAACUCAUAGUGUAGCGGUGAAAUGCGUUGAUAUGAUGGGGAACACCAAAAGCGAAGGCAGCAGACUGGAGCACUCCUGACGCUGAGACAAGAAAGCGUGGGUCGCGAAUGGG